rnacentral:rRNA from 1 species
GGGGAUGCGUUCCAUUAGGUUGUUGGCGGGGUAACGGCCCACCAAGCCUUCGAUGGAUAGGGGUUCUGAGAGGAAGGUCCCCCACAUUGGAAUUGAGACACGGUCCAAACUCCUACGGGAGGCAGCAGUGAGGAAUAUUGGUCAAUGGACGAGAGUCUGAACCAGCCAAGUAGCGUGAAGGAUGACUGCCCUAUGGGUUGUAAACUUCUUUUAUACGGGAAUAAAGUGAGGCACGUGUGCCUUUUUGUAUGUACCGUAUGAAUAAGGAUCGGCUAACUCCGUGCCAGCAGCCGCGGUAAUACGGAGGAUCCGAGCGUUAUCCGGAUUUAUUGGGUUUAAAGGGAGCGUAGGCGGACGCUUAAGUCAGUUGUGAAAGUUUGCGGCUCAACCGUAAAAUUGCAGUUGAUACUGGGUGUCUUGAGUACAGUAGAGGCAGGCGGAAUUCGUGGUGUAGCGGUGAAAUGCUUAGAUAUCACGAAGAACUCCGAUUGCGAAGGCAGCUUGCUGGACUGUAACUGACGCUGAUGCUCGAAAGUGUGGCUAUCAAA